UGUAUGGGCAGCUGUGGUGAAUUUUCCUCGUAUCUCGCAGCCACUUUUUGGGGGUUCGCUAGCACCAGAACGGCUGGCACAUGGCUAGAAUGUACUAACGUUCGCUGCGGACCAGAUCGAACGCGGUGGUGAGCAAUAGUGUGUGGCGGUGUCCUCCCUCGCAGGCAGUGUUCGGGGCGGGGAAAUCAAAUUCGACCAAAGCCGAGACCGAUUUGCAGGCAACCCACGGGUGAAGUGUGGACGCAGCUCGGGG